rnacentral:rRNA from 1 species
GCAUAUCAAUAAGCGGAGGAAAAGAAACUAACUAGGAUUCCCUUAGUAACGGCGAGUGAACCGGGAUGAGCUCAAAUUUAAAAUCUGGCGUCUUUCAGGCGUCCGAGUUGUAAUCUAUAGAGGCGUUUUCCGCGCCGGACCGCGUCCAAGUCCCUUGGAAUAGGGUAUCAAAGAGGGUGACAAUCCCGUACUUGACGCGACAACCGGUGCUCUGUGAUACGUUCUCAACGAGUCGAGUUGUUUGGGAAUGCAGCUCUAAAUGGGUGGUAAAUUCCAUCUAAGGCUAAAUAUUGGCGAGAGACCGAUAGCGAACAAGUACCGUGAGGGAAAGAUGAAAAGCACUUUGGAAAGAGAGUUAAACAGCACGUGAAAUUGUUAAAAGGGAAACGAUUGAAGUCAGUCGUGUGGGAGGUAUUCAGCCGUCUCUGGCGGUGUAUUUGCCUCUCACGGGUCAACAUCAGUUUGAUUCGGUGGAAAAAGGCGGGAGGAAGGUGGCACCCUCGGGUGUGUUAUAGCCUCCUGUCAUAUACACUGGACCAGACUGAGGAACGCAGCUCGCAGCAAUGCCGGGGUUCGCCCACGUACGAGCUUAGGAUGUUGACAUAAUGGCUUUAAACGACCCGUCUUGGAAACACGGACC